rnacentral:rRNA from 1 species
GAUGAACGCUAGCUACAGGCUUAACACAUGCAAGUCGAGGGGCAGCAUUUCAGUUUGCUUGCAAACUGGAGAUGGCGACCGGCGCACGGGUGAGUAACACGUAUCCAACCUGCCGAUAACUCGGGGAUAGCCUUUCGAAAGAAAGAUUAAUACCCGAUGGUAUAAUCAGACCGCAUGGUCUUGUUAUUAAAGAAUUUCGGUUAUCGAUGGGGAUGCGUUCCAUUAGGCAGUUGGUGAGGUAACGGCUCACCAAACCUUCGAUGGGUAGGGGUUCUGAGAGGAAGGUCCCCCACAUUGGAACUGAGACACGGUCCAAACUCCUACGGGAGGCAGCAGUGAGGAAUAUUGGUCAAUGGGCGCAGGCCUGAACCAGCCAAGUAGCGUGAAGGAUGACUGCCCUAUGGGUUGUAAACUUCUUUUAUAUGGGAAUAAAGUUUUCCACGUGUGGAAUUUUGUAUGUACCAUAUGAAUAAGGAUCGGCUAACUCCGUGCCAGCAGCCGCGGUAAUACGGAGGAUCCGAGCGUUAUCCGGAUUUAUUGGGUUUAAAGGGAGCGUAGGUGGACAGUUAAGUCAGUUGUGAAAGUUUGCGGCUCAACCGUAAAAUUGCAGUUGAUACUGGCUGUCUUGAGUACAGUAGAGGUGGGCGGAAUUCGUGGUGUAGCGGUGAAAUGCUUAGAUAUCACGAAGAACUCCGAUUGCGAAGGCAGCUCACUGGACUGCAACUGACACUGAUGCUCGAAAGUGUGGGUAUCAAACAGGAUUAGAUACCCUGGUAGUCCACACAGUAAACGAUGAAUACUCGCUGUUUGCGAUAUACAGUAAGCGGCCAAGCGAAAGCAUUAAGUAUUCCACCUGGGGAGUACGCCGGCAACGGUGAAACUCAAAGGAAUUGACGGGGGCCCGCACAAGCGGAGGAACAUGUGGUUUAAUUCGAUGAUACGCGAGGAACCUUACCCGGGCUUAAAUUGCAUUUGAAUAUAUUGGAAACAGUAUAGCCGUAAGGCAAAUGUGAAGGUGCUGCAUGGUUGUCGUCAGCUCGUGCCGUGAGGUGUCGGCUUAAGUGCCAUAACGAGCGCAACCCUUAUCUUUAGUUACUAACAGGUCAUGCUGAGGACUCUAGAGAGACUGCCGUCGUAAGAUGUGAGGAAGGUGGGGAUGACGUCAAAUCAGCACGGCCCUUACGUCCGGGGCUACACACGUGUUACAAUGGGGGGUACAGAAGGCAGCUACCUGGUGACAGGAUGCUAAUCCCAAAAGCCUCUCUCAGUUCGGAUCGAAGUCUGCAACCCGACUUCGUGAAGCUGGAUUCGCUAGUAAUCGCGCAUCAGCCAUGGCGCGGUGAAUACGUUCCCGGGCCU